AGAGUUUGAUCAUGGCUCAGAACGAACGCUGGCGGCAGGCCUAAUACAUGCAAGUCGAACGCACCUUCGGGUGAGUGGCAGACGGGUGAGUAACGCGUGGGAACCUUCCUUGUAGUACGGAAUAACUCCGGGAAACCGGUGCUAAUACCGUAUACGCCCUCCGGGGGAAAGAUUUAUCGCUACAAGAUGGGCCCGCGUUGGAUUAGCUAGUUGGUAGGGUAAUGGCCUACCAAGGCGACGAUCCAUAGCUGGUCUGAGAGGAUGAUCAGCCACACUGGGACUGAGACACGGCCCAGACUCCUACGGGAGGCAGCAGUAGGGAAUCUUGGACAAUGGGCGAAAGCCUGAUCCAGCCAUGCCGCGUGAGUGAAGAAGGCCUUAGGGUUGUAAAGCUCUUUUGGCGGGGACGAUAAUGACGGUACCCGCAGAAUAAGCCCCGGCUAACUUCGUGCCAGCCGCCGCGGUAAUAC
rnacentral:rRNA from 1 species